UACGAAGGGGGCUAGCGUUGUUCGGAAUUACUGGGCGUAAAGCGCGCGUAGGCGGUGAUCUUUGUCAGAGGUGAAAUCCCGAGGCUCAACUUCGGAAUUGCCUUUGAAACGGGAUCGCUUGAGUCCGAGAGAGGAUGGCGGAAUUCCUAGUGUAGAGGUGAAAUUCGUAGAUAUUAGGAAGAACACCGGUGGCGAAGGCAGCCCCCUGGGUCGAUACUGACGCUCAUGCACGAAAGCGUGGGGAGCAAGCAGG
rnacentral:rRNA from 1 species